AAAGGAAUUGACGGGGACCCGCACAAGCAGCGGAGCAUGUGGUUUAAUUCGAAGCAACGCGAAGAACCUUACCUGGACUUGACAUCCCUCGGACCGCUUUUUAAUCGAAGCCUUCCCUUCGGGGACUGAGGAGACAGGUGGUGCAUGGUUGUCGUCAGCUCGUGUCGUGAGAUGUUGGGUUAAGUCCCGCAACGAGCGCAACCCUUGUCUUUAGUUGCCAGCAAGUUAAGUUGGGCACUCUAGAGAGACUGCCAAGGUAAACUUGGAGGAAGGUGGGGAUGACGUCAAAUCAUCAUGCCCCUUAUGUUCAGGGCUACACACGUGCUACAAUGGCCGAUACAACGGGCAGCGAAGGAGUAAUCCGGAGCAAAUCCUUAAAAAUCGGUCUCAGUUCGGAUUGUGGGCUGCAACUCGCCCACAUGAAGUCGGAGUUGCUAGUAAUCGCGAAUCAGAAUGUCGCGGUGAAUGCGUUCCCGGGUCUUGUACACACCGCCCGU
rnacentral:rRNA from 1 species